GGGCAGAGGAAAUGCUUCCUCAAGACAGCCGUGCCAGCGAUCUACAACCCCCUGCUGUGCAUUAGCCAGGCUGGGCUUCUCCUCACGUACGCCAUCCUGGGGGAAGCCGAGCAACUGCUGGGGUACACGCUGGAGGACACCACCGCCAAGGUGAUGGGUCAGCUCCGCAGCAUCCGGCAGCUGCACCAGGUGCCUGAGGUGCUGCAAGGGCUGAGCCUCACCUGAUGCCCUUAAAGGUCCCCCCUCAGCAACUCCUGCUCCCUGCUGCAGAUCUUCGCACGGGUCGGCUUGCUGCAGGAGACACUGGCGGACAUCAUCAUCUACAGUGCCAACUGGAAGGAACAGCUCCAGCUGCGGGCGCUGGGCAGAGCAGGACUCACCGCAAACCGAACCAAAUGUCACCUGGGCCAGAAAGAACUGAUCUACCCGGGCUAUACGGUGGGCCGAGGGAAAAUACGGUCUUUGGUAUCUGAGCCACAAGCUGUUCUAUCUAAUAGGGAACCCCUUCUCCUUGGUAACAGACCACGCACCCCUCAGGUGGAUUAACAGCAUGAAGGACUCACACACACGGAUCAUGUGGUGGUACAUGUCCCUCCAACCCUAUUCCUUUCGAGUGUUACACCGGCCGGGAAAGGCUCAUGUGGAUGCAGAUUUCUUUUCCCGAGA